rnacentral:rRNA from 1 species
UACGUAGGGCGCAAGCGUUGUCCGGAAUUAUUGGGCGUAAAGAGCUCGUAGGCGGCUUGUCACGUCGGGUGUGAAAGCCCGGGGCUUAACCCCGGGUCUGCAUUCGAUACGGGCUAGCUAGAGUGUGGUAGGGGAGAUCGGAAUUCCUGGUGUAGCGGUGAAAUGCGCAGAUAUCAGGAGGAACACCAAUAGCGAAGGCAGCUCGCUGGGACGGUACUGACGCUAAGGCGCGAAAGCGUGGGGAGCGAACAGG